rnacentral:rRNA from 1 species
AGCAGCCGCGGUAAUUCCAGCUCCAAUAGCGUAUAUUAAAGUUGUUGCAGUUAAAAAGCUCGUAGUUGAAUUUCGGGAUUGGCGCAUCGGUCGUGCCUCACGGGGUAUGAACUGGUGCAGUCAAUUUCUCACCUUCUGGAGAACCGCGAUGUCCUUAAUUGGAUGCCGCGGGGAACCAGGACCUUUACUUUGAAAAAAUUAGAGUGUUUAAAGCAGGCAUUUUUGCUUGAAUACAUUAGCAUGGAAUAAUAAAAUAGGACGGCAUGGUUCUAUUUUGUUGGUUUCUAGGACCACCGUAAUGAUUAAUAGGGAUAGUUGGGGGCAUUAGUAUUCAAUUGUCAGAGGUGAAAUUCUUGGAUUUAUUGAAGACUAACUACUGCGAAAGCAUUUGCCAAGGAUGUUUUCAUUAAUCAAGAACGAAAGUUAGGGGAUCGAAGACGAUCAGAUACCGUCGUAGUCUUAACCAUAAACUAUGCCGACUAGGAAUCAGACGAUGUUAAUUUUUAAUGACU